rnacentral:rRNA from 1 species
AUUGAACGCUGGCGGCAUGCCUUACACAUGCAAGUCGAACGGCAGCACGGGUGCUUGCACCUGGUGGCGAGUGGCGAACGGGUGAGUAAUAUAUCGGAACGUACCUUAUUGUGGGGGAUAACGCAGCGAAAGCUGUGCUAAUACCGCAUAAUCCCUAAGGGGGAAAGCGGGGGACCGUAAGGCCUCGCGCAAUUAGAGCGGCCGAUACCUGAUUAGCUAGUUGGUGAGGUAAAGGCUCACCAAGGCCACGAUCAGUAGCUGGUCUGAGAGGACGAUCAGCCACACGGGGACUGAGACACGGCCCAGACUCCUACGGGAGGCAGCAGUGGGGAAUUUUGGGCAAUGGGGGCAACCCUGAUCCAGCAAUGCCGCGUGAGUGAAGAAGGCCUUCGGGUUGUAAAGCUCUUUUGUCAGGGAAGAAACAGCAGCUCUAACACAGUUUGCGAAUGACGGUACCUGAAGAAUAAGCACCGGCCAACUACGUGCCAGCCGCCGCCGUAA